CAAAGGCUUGGUCCUGACUUUUCUAUCAACUCUAGCCCAACUUACACAUGCAAGUAUCCGCACCCCUGUGAGAAUGCCCCACAGUUUCCCGUCAAGGAAACAAGGAGCCGGUAUCAGGCACAACAUUAUUUUAGCCCAAGACACCUUGCUUAGCCACACCCUCAAGGGACCUCAGCAGUGAUAAACAUUAAGCCAUAAGUGAAAACUUGACUUAGCCAAGGCUAAGAGGGCCGGUAAAACUCGUGCCAGCCACCGCGGUUAUACGAGAGGCCCAAGCUGAUAGACAACGGCGUAAAGCGUGGUUAGGAGAACAAAAACAAUUAAAGUCGAAUGCUUUCAAAGCUGUUAUACGCACACGAGAGCUAGAAGUCCAACAACGAAGGUGACUUUACGAUUUCUGACCCCACGAAAGCUAAGGCACAAACUGGGAUUAGAUACCCCACUAUGCCUAGCCCUAAACAUUGAUAGCUAAUUACAUUUUCUAUCCGCCCGGGAACUACGAGCAUAAGCUUAAAACCCAAAGGACUUGGCGGUGCUUUAGAUCCACCUAGAGGAGCCUGUUCUAGAACCGAUAACCCCCGUUAAACCUCACCUUUUCUUGUUCUACCCGCCUAUAUACCACCGUCGUCAGCUUAUCCUGUGAAGGACUACUAAUAAGCAGAAUUGGCACAACCCAAAACGUCAGGUCGAGGUGUAGCGUACGAAAAGGGAAGAAAUGGGCUACAUUCUCUAUACUAGAGAACACGAAUGAUAAACUGAAAAACGUAUCUGAAGGAGGAUUUAGUAGUAAGGAAGAAAUAGAGAGUCCUCCUGAAACUGGCCCUGAAGCGCGCACACACCGCCCGUCACUCUCCCCAAGCACCCUAUUUUUAUUAAAUAAAACCUUUAAAUCUGCGAAGGGGAGGCAAGUCGUAACAUGGUAAGUGUACUGGAAAGUGCACUUGGAUUAAU
rnacentral:ncRNA from 1 species